rnacentral:rRNA from 1 species
UUGGGUUAAGUCCCGCAACGAGCGCAACCCUUGAUCUUAGUUGCCAGCAUUCAGUUGGGCACUCUAAGGUGACUGCCGGUGACAAACCGGAGGAAGGUGGGGAUGACGUCAAAUCAUCAUGCCCCUUAUGACCUGGGCUACACACGUGCUACAAUGGACAGAACAAAGGGCUGCAAGACCGCAAGGUUUAGCCAAUCCCAUAAAUCUGUUCUCAGUUCGGAUCGCAGUCUGCAACUCGACUGCGUGAAGCUGGAAUCGCUAGUAAUCGCGGAUCAGCAUGCCGCGGUGAAUACGUUCCCGGGCCUUGUACACACCGCCCGUCACACCACGAGAGUUUGCAACACCCGAAGUCGGUGAGGUAACCUUUAUGGAGCCAGCCG